rnacentral:rRNA from 1 species
AUUGAACGCUGGCGGCAUGCCUUACACAUGCAGGUCGAACGGCAGCACGGGUGCUUGCACCUGGUGGCGAGUGGCGAACGGGUGAGUAAUACAUCGGAACAUGUCCUGUAGUGGGGGAUAGCCCGGCGAAAGCCGGAUUAAUACCGCAUACGAUCUACGGAUGAAAGCGGGGGACCUUCGGGCCUCGCGCUAUAGGAUUGGCCGAUGGCUGAUUAGCUAGUUGGUGGGGUAAAGGCCUACCAAGGCGACGAUCAGUAGCUGGUCUGAGAGGACGACCAGCCACACUGGGACUGAGACACGGCCCAGACUCCUACGGGAGGCAGCAGUGGGGAAUUUUGGACAAUGGGCGAAAGCCUGAUCCAGCAAUGCCGCGUGUGUGAAGAAGGCCUUCGGGUUGUAAAGCACUUUUGUCCGGAAAGAAAUCCUUGGCCCUAAUACGGUCGGGGGAUGACGGUACCGGAAGAAUAAGCACCGGCUAACUACGUG